UCUUGGGUGGAUAAUACGGAUUACGUUGUUAUUGCUUAAGAAUACGCGUAGUCGAGGAGAGUACCAGCGGCAGGCGGGCAGCAGCCGCCCCUGCCAGCCCACCAGCUGGCCACUAAAAGCUCCCGGUUGCCAAGCAGUGUAAAAGAGCAAUAUUGCUGGGUAUCCACUUCAGCCAUUUGAAGACAUUAUGAGGACUCUGGUGGGGAUCUUGACCCCUCUUUGCUCUGAGACAGUGCAAACCUGCCUCUAUUUUAGUCACAGGUGCCUAUUGUGGGCUG
rnacentral:lncRNA from 1 species